AGGGAGGAGCCGAAGUUUCCCAAGCCGCGCGCAGGCCCGAGUGCCCAUUCUGCCCGGCCCGCCUGGCGCGCCCGACCGGCGGCCACAAUCCGCCCCUCGCACAAAAGUGGCCCGGCAGGUUCCGGGCCGCGGCCAACGCGCCCGCUCCGGCUCGGCUCGGCUGCCAGGAGCCAGCGAUCCCCGGCAGCAGUCGGAGCCUCAGACACCCAGAAUGAGAGCUGAGAGAGAACCGGUCACGGGUGGAGGUUUCACGCGCCUUCCCGGAGGAACAAGCAAUGCACGCGGACCCCACGUGUACCUCGUGGGAAAACGCAGCCAUAGGCCUACUUGCGUGGUGUAUUCCGCUUGACCCUCUCCGGGACACAAGGCAAUAGGCAUACAAUUGGCCUUGGACUGAGCGGACGGAGCGCACGGCCCGGCUAAGAUCGUCCAAGAGCCCUGCCCGGGGGGCAUCGAAGCCUGGCAUCCACGUCACGCGAGGGAACCCUCGGCUCCCAUACAGCCAGCCCAGCCCAGAGGACCCCCGCCAAGCACGCGCGCACUGCAAAGAGAGACUGGCACGCCGCACACGCGCCCCGCGCACCCUGCCCGGAGUCCCACGCCCAGAUAGUCAUCGUGGGUUGGCAUCCCGCAAAUAUUUAUAUUCCUCAGCGCCACAGCGGCCCGCGUCCACAUUAGACGCUCUAAUCCUGCCACUUUAAAUAGAUGAAUUAAUAAAGCAAACGAGCGGCUAAUAA